CGGACGGGUGAGUAACGCGUGGGUAACCUGCCUCAUACAGGGGGAUAACAGUUAGAGAUGACUGCUAAUACCGCAUAAGACCACAGCACCGCAUGGUGCAGGGGUAAAAACUCCGGUGGUAUGAGAUGGACCCGCGUCUGAUUAGGUAGUUGGUGGGGUAACGGCCUACCAAGCCGACGAUCAGUAGCCGACCUGAGAGGGUGACCGGCCACAUUGGGACUGAGACACGGCCCAG
rnacentral:rRNA from 1 species